CCUCCACACAGCGAAACCAGCUUCUCCACAGACAUUGUGUGACCGGGACAAACAUCGUUCCAGACUUGGAGAAAUCCUUUUUUGGCUUUGAGUUUGAGAAGAGGAUGGUGGUAGCAGAAACAGAAAGAAGCCAGCUAGCUUAUCGCAGGAAGAAGCUGUGUACAUGAGGUCCAUAGCUUGCCUGGCUCUGUGACAGCUGCAGAGGAACAGGACACGUGGGGACCAGAGAAUGGGGGAAGAUGUGCAGCAAAUAGUUGCAGCUGGAAGGCGAAAUAGCGAGCCAUGCACAUGGAGCGGGCAUACACAGGACUUCCACCAGAUCUGUGUUCGGUCCGUGUCUGAUCCGCUGCGGUCCGGCUCCAUGCUCUCUCGUCCUUCAACAUCCAACAGUGUUUUCAGAA